GGUUCGCAAAAUGCUGCCUUAAGAGAGAGAGCAGUCUUGUCCUCUUCUGCAAAGAGAGAAAAAAGAGCUGGGACGAUGUGAGUGGAGGUGGGCUUCGUAUCUGCAUCCAUGCACAGAGAAAGGAGCGGAAACAGACACUCCGGCACUGGGAGGCAGGCAGAUGUCAAAUGUGUUGCAUCUACUUGACUUCAUCUUGGGCAAGCUGCCAAAGGUCCUGACAUGAGUUGCCUGAAACUGUGUUGACUUUUUGGAGAGAACUCAACCCCUGCUGGAUGGCUUCCACCCUUCCAUUAAAGCGUGUCAUUUAAAAUAAAAAGGCAAUGUUUGGC